UCCGUCCUUCGCGGACACCCUACCACCGUC
rnacentral:sRNA from 1 species